GAUGAACGCUGGCGGCGUGCCUAAUACAUGCAAGUCGAGCGAACAGACGAGGAGCUUGCUCCUCUGACGUUAGCGGCGGACGGGGGAGUAACACGUGGAUAACCUACCUAUAAGACUGGGAUAACUUCGGGAAACCGGAGCUAAUACCGGAUAAUAUAUUGAACCGCAUGGUUCAAUAGUGAAAGACGGUUUUGCUGUCACUUAUAGAUGGAUCCGCGCCGCAUUAGCUAGUUGGUAAGGUAACGGCUUACCAAGGCAACGAUGCGUAGCCGACCUGAGAGGGUGAUCGGCCACACUGGAACUGGGAAACGGUCCAGACUCCUACGGGAGGCAGCAGUAGGGAAUCUUCCGCAAUGGGCGGAAGCCUGGCGGAGCAACGCCGCGUGAGUGAAGAAGGUCUUCGGAUCGUAAAACUCUGUUAUUAGGGAAGAACAAAUGUGUAAGUAACUAUGCACGUCUUGACGGUACCUAAUCAGAAAGCCACGGCUAACUACGUG
rnacentral:rRNA from 1 species